AUGGGGCGUGACCUUGUCCCUCCGCAGCUCUCCACCCCAGACAAAGUCCUCAUCCCGAACGGUAACAUCGACCUGGAGCCCGACACUCCCCUGAGCCCAGGAGCUGAAGAGAAGCAGAAGAAAGUAGAAAGGAUCAAGACACUCAUCGCCAAGUCCAGUAUGCAGAACGUGGGCCGUGGCGAGGGGACCUUGUGGAUGUGCCCCAGGACUCAGAGAGCCAGCUGCAGGAGCAGGAGAAGCGGAUUGAAAUCUCCUGUGCCCUGGCGACCGAGGCCUCCCGCAGGGCCGCAUGCUGUCUGUGCAAUGUGCCACCCCAAGCCCUCCCACCUCCCCUGCCUCCCCGGCUCCACCAGCCAACCCCCUAUCGUCUGACUCCCCACGGGGCGCCGACAGCAGCCAUGCCAUGCGGGUCUGAGCUCUGACUGCAAGCCCUGGCCGAGGCCAACGCCAUGAAGCUCCACAGAGCCACGUUCUGAAGCCACCUCUGCCUCCCUGAGAUCCUGCUCCCCACUUGGCCCCCUGGCCCCCUGCCCCUCUGCUCCUAUAGGAACGCUGCAGGGAGCCGGGCUGGGGGCCGGGCUGCUUCCAAGAGGCGCACGGGCACCUCAGUGUCCACACACCCAUGGCACUUGGCCCUGAAGCCCUCGCUGCUCAGAGAGUGAUCCCGGGCCAGGGUGCGAGAUGGCGGGGUAAGGACCGCCAUCUGUCUGAUGCUCGCGGUACAGGGAGCCUAGGUCUGGCUCCAGCAGGGGUUGUGAUGGCCCCAUGGGCACAUUCCAUGGUGGAGGAGAUGUUCCGGUGGGGAACGUGCCCUGGGCUACCCUAGGUUAGGACUCCUCUCUUGAUGUCAAGGACAGCACCUGCCAUCGUCCCCUUUCCCCAUGGCCCCACCCCUGCUGCCCCAGCUGAACCCAGGGUCUUGGCACAUCUCUGCUCCUGGGUGCUCCUUUGGAGUCCAGUGGAGACUGACUGCCCUGCCUGAGCCAAAGAUGAGAUGAUGAGGGAUGGGGAGAGGUUCCCUCUGGGAGCCCAGUGCUGGCUGGCCGGAGAGCCGCAGGUCUGUGCAGUGUCUGAGGGCAGGUUGAGAAGGGGUGGCAGAGAGCGGGGGAGAGAUCUCAGGAAAAUGAGAGGACAGGGAAGGAGCAGGACUCAUGCGCAAGUAGGAAGAGAAGGACGGAGAUGAGAAGGGUGUGGAUUGGUUUCCCCAGGGUGGAGCCUUUAGGUUUGUGCCAAGUACAGUGCCGGGCUGUCAGCUCACCCGUCCCUAGGAUCAGUGGGGCUCCCAACAGGAAGACCCGCCACCCGCACCCUGCCUUGGGGAUGGAGGUGUGAGUCCAGGGGCUGGGCAGCAGCAGCCUGGGAAAUGGCUCUUUUGAGGUCUGGGCCUGGUGUUGGCCUCCCCAUCCUAGGGUUGGGAGCAGAGAGAAGGAUCUGUCUUAUGGAGGGGCCGGUCAGCUUCGGGGGCUGUCCUAACCAUUUCUGCGACAUCAUCUUGUCUCCCUUCCCCCUGGAAUGUGCCGUGGGCCAGCCAAGGGUGUGCCCUGGGAAGAGGGAAUGUGGCCUCAAUCUGGUAAGCCAGAUUCUGGGCCCUACCCUGCAUUCCCUGAUGAGGACACGUUGAGGCUUAUGGAAAGCCUCUCUUCUAGCCUGGCUCUCUUCCAACCCACCUACCCAUGGGCCGGUGGUGGAGAGACAGAAGCAAAGCUUCUUCUCCCUCUGACCCGCCCCCCUUGAGAUGAAUGUAGCCAGAGACGAUGAAGGAGAGAGAGAGUGAAGCCGAAAAACCUUGGCCCUAGGCCUGCUCUUUGCCAGAGUUGCUGUCCAGAGACUUCAGCCUGACCUCCCACGGCCCCAGGAACGACUACCUUAACUUCCACCAAUUCUUCUUCACGCCUUCCUGGCUGGGACAGUUAUGGUUCAUAUGCAAGUAAAGAUGACAGUUCAUUCAACAAAUAUUUAUUGAGCACCUUGUAUGUACCAGGCACUGUUCUAGGUGCUGAGAAUAUUCUCAUGCUUCUGAGGGAUUACCGACUGGGGGGAUGCCAUGCACCUUCACUUCUAGCAGGUUGUUUGAACAUGACCCUUGGCUGCAUUUCCCAUCUUCGGCACAGCUCAAGCACCCUAAACCUGUCCUCUCCCCCCACAGACCGGCAGGUGGGGUUGGCUCCCAGGUAACCCUCUCUCCCUUCUCCAUCUUCUCCCACACCUUCUCCAUCCAUAAGAAACUGGUUUUUCGGGGCCUUCCAUGCCUUCCCCUUUCUUUGUCUCUCUCUUUUUUUUUUUUUAAAGCGAUAUUUUUCAAAAUAUAUGUGAAAUACCAAGGAUUGACGUCUGCCCCUCUGCCAUCUCUCCUCAUAAAGCUGGCUCUUUAUGUUGCUUUACAUGCCUUAAUAUAUGUUUUAUGAAGAUUACACAUAUUAUAGAUGUAUAUGUAAUAUAUAUAUUUGUUCGGAUGUCUGAUCCUUUCCUAGAACUCCUGCCCGGGCCCAUUUCCUCUCCUUUACUUUCCACGCCAUUCCUAGCAUACUGUGGCCAUACCCCCAUGCCUUUUGAUCCAAAGAAGGGGAGAGGAAAGACUUAUUUUAAGACAGAUCUAUUUUACGCUUUUGUUAUAAAAGCAAAUCUAUUUUCAAAAUGUGCAAUGUCUGAGUGGAAUUGGCAAGUGAUAUGAGGAGACUGGGGUGGCUGCCUCCAGGCCCAACCCUCCGCCCUUCCCUCCUCCGUGGCAGCUUCCUUCCUCCUCCUCCCCAGUCUGCAAAGGGCUGGUCCCCAGAGCUCACCCAGGGAGCAUCUCACCGGGGCAGGACAUUCUCUUGCAAGUCCUGGUCUAAGGAUUUGAUUACAUGGUCAACUCUUGUUGAGCCUCUAGGUUUAUCGGAUGUGAACCCUCUUGAAGGAAAUGUUUACAGUUGUGUGCACAGAAGUACGCCCGUGCAGGCACCCCCCCCCCCCCACCAUGUGCUCCUGGACCACUUCCUUCAUCACCCACUGGAAAGGGCAGACAGUUUAAUGGCAGCCUAAGCCAAACAGCACCGAGAAGGUCAGACUGUUCUUGAAUGGAUCCAGGAUAUGGUGCCACCGGCCAAAGGAAGCGAUUUGGGAUCACUGGUCCUUCGGUGUAGACACAUUCGAGUUCCUUGGACUUCUCACACUCCUUUUCACUUGAUCCCUCUCGGGUCUGGGUCGCAUCUAUGGCAUCUGUCUCCCUCUGUGACGUUUCUUUGGGGCCGUUGUUAAAGGGGAUGGUACCCCGGUCUGGCAUCCAGACUUUGAAGUCAGCCCAGAAGGUCCCAUGGACAAGGUGCAUCUCAGCCUUGCCAAGGACUUUCCUGCUCCUGGGGCCCUGAACUAAGCCAGCUCAGCCUUCCAGCUGCUUAUCAACUGUCGAAGUGGGCAAGGAGCUGUUGCCUUGCAAGGAUUUGGGCGAAAUGAAAGUCUUUUGUCCAGAUCUGGAAUCAAGGGUUUUGGAAUCUAGCACUGAGCUCCUGGCCAGCAUUUGAAGCCUGGCUUCCCACUCUGACAUUUCCUGGCAUCCUAUUCCUAGCCUAGAGCAUUUGCUAUGAAUGAUAGGGGCCCAGAUGGAAGCCCAGGGCUAAGGAACCCACCCAGGGAUAGUCCUGGUCACUAAUCUAGGGCCUUCCCAAUUAGCACAUUUCCUCCGUCAUCAAUAACCAAGAGGCUGUAAUCAAAUACUAACUCUGUCACUUAAAAGAUGUUCUGAGGUUGCAAGCUGUGCUCACUUGCUUUCUUGCCUUGGUGAGAGGCAUGCUCUUGGACCACGGCUGACUACAGCAAGACAGAAUUAAUUCCUUUCCCCCUUAGGCACCCCCCCCCAACCUGGCAGCUCUUAAAACUAAGGAAAAUAUGAAAUAUACAUAUAUAUAUAUAUAUACAUAUAUCUAUUUAUGCACAUAUUGGGGCCAAUUUGAUUUGCUAGUAUUAGACAAUAAACCAUACAAGGAAAUUUAUGAUCUCAGUGUCUUUAUUUAGUAUAAAAGUGACCUUAGAAGAAGAGUUAAGGUUAGAUAAACAGAGGGUAUCUCUGUCAGGGGACCAAACAACCAUAGCAGCCCCUUAGCAUCUUUCUAGCAGAUGAGCCUCUCCCCAGGGAGGGGCCAUCCUAAUUGACAGAUGAGAGCUUGCUUCCCUCUCAGCAGCAUUCUUUUUAGAUGUAGGUACUGAAGCACCCAGUGAGCUCGCAUUUGUAUCUUGCAAGUUUGUAUAAACCCAUUACAGGAAAUAAAUGGUUUGUACAAGU